rnacentral:misc_RNA from 1 species
AAACUGGUCACCAUCACAAACCAACUCUCAUGCACAAUUAUUUGACCCCGUGAGCCACGUGAGCGGUAGUGAUGGGACUGCUUCAUGGAUUCAAGCCGGUGUUUCUGCACAAAAAUUAGUUCUUGGAAUUCCAUUUUAUGGCUAUGCUUGGCAAUUGGUUAAUGCGAAUAAUCAUGGACUUAGGGCUCCGGCAAAUGGUAAAUCAAAUGCUGGUUCGAUCGAUGAUGGAUCGAUGACUUAUAAUCAAAUCAAAAAUUAUAUAGUGCAAAAUCGUGCCACAACGGUGUAUAAUGCAACAAUUGUUGGAGAUUAUUGUUAUUCUGGUAAUACUUGGAUUAGUUAUGACGAUACUCAAAGUGUUAGAAAUAAGGUUACUUACGUUAAAGGUAGAAAAUUGCGUGGUUAUUUUGCGUGGCACGUGGCAGCAGACCAAAAUUGGCUACUUUCUAAGACAGCUUCACAAACAUGGGGAGCAUCACCUCAAGCUGUGAAAUGAUGGAAUAAUUCUAUUUGUGUGUUUAAUUUGUCACGUAGUAUUUCUUAUAAUAAAGUGACAAAUAUGUGAACCAUGACAUAUAAAAUAAAUAAAAAUCCAUGUACCAUA